ACCGAGGACUAUUUUAAAACGCCGAUUUAGCCCAGUCAAAAUCAACAUCACGAUUGCCGCCUCCGCCGCCCCCAUCGUGUCUACCUGCAUUCUUUGUAAUACAAAUAAAGCUGCCUGUGCUCCGACUACCGCGAAACGAAAUCCGCUGCGUUGUUUUCCCGUCUGCGGUUCGCGCAAACAAACCCACUAGUGCUCGUCCUCGCUUCGACUCGGCUGAUGACGAUACGCGUGUAUAAUUUGGUUUGCACAAAGCGCGCGUGCAUAAUUUAUAGCCAAACGGUGUGCAUAUUAGCUGUUUCGUAAAGUGAUCCGAAAAAAAAAUUGGCAUUUGGACAAUGUGUGGUUUUAAACACAAGGAGAUUGGAAUAUAGGUAGUGCUGUCUGAAUCAAUAAAGCAGCCGCGAAUCGAGCAGUUCGCCUUAUGCAGAUUGUUUCGUCAGCAAGGAGGCCUCUGUUCAUCGACCACGGAUCGAUUAUCGAUUAUCAAGCAGUGGAUUAUUUACCGAGCAAGGAUGGAAGGACAGAAAGGAAGAAAAGCAGGAAAUGGAGAGGGAGGAAGAAAGGGCGAAAAAGACAAAUGGAAAGGAAAGCACGGAAGAAAGGGAACGCGAUGAAAGUGGAGAAGGAAAAGGAAGAAGGGAAGUAACGGAAGGAAAGAAACAUGGAACGGAACAGAAGGAACGGGGCGAAAGGAAGGAGUUAAGAAGCUAGGGGAAUCCAUUAGGAAUUUUAUUCGCGUUUGGCGAUAUAAAGCAAGAACGGUAAAAUGAUCUAUACAACUCGAUUUUGAAAAGAACGAACCUAGCUUACGAUUAUUUUAUUUCUCAAGUGUAGAAUUAACUUCUCUAAUCAUUAGUUACGCAAAUAUUCGAGUGAUUUAAGUUGCAACGAUUUGAAUGAACAGCUAUUACAUGA